rnacentral:rRNA from 1 species
GACGAACGCUGGCGGCGUGCUUAACACAUGUAAGUCGAGCGGUAAGGCCCUUUCGGGGGUACACGAGCGGCGAACGGGUGAGUAACACGUGGGUGACCUGCCCUUAGCUCUGGGAUAAGCCUGGGAAACUGGGUCUAAUACCGGAUAUGACUCCAUGACGCAUGUUGUGGGGUGGAAAGCCUUGUGCGGCUAGGGAUGGGCCCGCGGCCUAUCAGCUUGUUGGUGGGGUGAUGGCCUACCAAGGCGACGACGGGUAGCCGGCCUGAGAGGGCGACCGGCCACACUGGGACUGAGACACGGCCCAGACUCCUACGGGAGGCAGCAGUGGGGAAUCUUGCGCAAUGGGCGAAAGCCUGACGCAGCGACGCCGCGUGAGGGAUGACGGCCU